GAUGACCAUGGUUGCUUUCUUUGUCUUUGCUUCGAGUUUAUGCUGAAUUACCCAUAAGACAGUUAUGAAGAAGGAAAAUGAGAAGCACUUCUUUUGGGUGACAUGAAAUGCACCUCAGGCUACCAGAAUAAAUGAAUGUGGUGCGCAGCAGACCUCACCACUGCACCAUCCCUGCCAGCAACUGGAGCUGGGACGGGACAGCAGGACAUUGGUGCCCACAGCUCCCUGGUGUGCUGGGACUGCCUCUGGGCACCCUGGUGCUUCUCCUUCUUUGGUGGCGUUCUUAUGUAGUACAUAUGUUUUUUGGUGACUGCAUUAGGAGCUGUGAUUGUGGUAUUGACAGCAGUUUUAACGUUGUCACGUGGGCUGCUUAUUCGUAUUUUUGACAAAUGAAUGAGCAGUAAGUGCAGUUGGAGGUCUUUCAGUGCAAAUUCAUUCACGGUGUGUAGAUGGAUUUGCACAAACCAUUCCUAGUAAUGAUUUAAUUUUUAAUUUUUAUUUUAUUUUGACCCCACAAAGAAAGCAGAUUUCUGGAAAUGUAUGCACAGAGGGCGAAGAUCUGAUUAAAACUAUGAUUCUCUGAAAUGAGAGGAUUCAAUAUAACUUCAAAAUAAUUUGUUCUGAAUACAAAAUUUACUAACAUUAUCGUUUCAACACUAUACUCUUAAUAUGCUAUAUUUUUCUAAUCACACAGAUGCAACUUUUUAAGUCUUAUUUGCUGUGCCCAGUAUUGCAGAAAUAUCCAUCAAAACUUCCAUUUAACAGCAAUAAUGGCACCAUUUUUUAUUAAAACUUCUCUUCGUGAAGCAAAAUAAUCAUUCAUUUCAAAUAUUGAUUUUUAUUUUUGAACAGUCUUGUAAUUCUUCUAAGUUCUGGUUUAAUGUGUAAUAUGAAUAACCAGUGGAUGUUUUGUUUUCACUUCAGUGGUAAAAGUGAUGAAUUCUCAGAUUCAAAAAAAGUACUGGACCUUUGUUUUCAGAUAAGAAAUGUAAACUUCAGCUUUCAGCUCUUUGUUAGAGCUAUAAGGUUAUCUUGUUUUCUUUAGUUAUGAUACGUUAUUAGAAACCUGAAUUCCCACAGUAAAAAUGUUUCAAUCUAAAGAAUUUUUACUACUAAACCUGACAUUUACCUGAUGAAGAAGGCAGAGAUGCUAGGGCUUUGGGAAAGGAGGGGGAAGUACCUAAGUGGUGGAAAAAGCUUAGCAUUUGAGUGCAUGAGGUUUUUUGAUAAUGUACCAUCUGGCAAUAAGAUCAAAAGUCGAGACAAAUACGCUUACCUUACCACAGAAUUUACUAACUAAAUUCAAACAAAAAUCUUAUAAAAUAAGUAAAGAAAAAAUAAAUCCCUGAUAAAGACGAAAAAAAUGAAGAAA
rnacentral:lncRNA from 1 species